AUUGAACGCUGGCGGCAGGCCUAACACAUGCAAGUCGAACGAGUGGCGGACGGGUGAGUAAUGUCUGGGAAACUGCCUGAUGGAGGGGGAUAACUACUGGAAACGGUAGCUAAUACCGCAUACCAUCAGAUGUGCCCAGAUGGGAUUAGCUAGUUGGUGGGGGAACGGCUCACCAAGGCGACGAUCCCUAGCUGGUCUGAGAGGAUGACCAGCCACACUGUAACUGAGACACGGUCCAGAUUCCUACGGGAGGCAGCAGUGGGGAAUAUUGCACAAUGGGCGCAAGCCUGAUGCAGACAUGCCGCGUGUAUGAAGAAGGCCUUCGGGUUGUAAAGUACUUUCAGCGGGGAGGCGUUACCCGCAGAAGAAGCACCGGCUAACUCCGUGCCAGCAGCCGCGGUAAUUC
rnacentral:rRNA from 1 species